UCAACGCAGCUGUGAUACGAUUUAAACAAUGAGAGGUCAAAGUGUCAAUCGGACGAUGGUAUCGGAAGUUUUCUGAUUGAAUUCGCAAAAAUAGUUAUGUGUUAGUUAGUGGGUUCCUUUUAGAAGAAAUCGUGUAGUAUCGUGAAGCAGAGGUCCAGUCCUAUGGAGCGAAACUUCUGUGAUCCUAUGGGAGGUCCUGAUGCUUGAUGAAAACUUGCAGUGAGCAAGAACAAGAUAAGAUGAGUUCUACUGUUUUACUCACAUUUACGAUAGCUGGAGCUUGGAUACCAGUAAAGAAGAGUUGCGUAACGAUCAGAUACUGGAUCAUGUUUCAUUUUCAAUGAUGUGGAUCAUCACAGCUGAGUAACUCGAUUCAACAAAUUAUAGAACGACAUUUCUUGAUGGAACCGUCUCACUACCCUUUGGAUGAGAAAAGUAGAGAACUUUGGAUCAAAUCCCACAGGGACCGAAAACGUCGAACGACGGAAAUUGGAAAAAAACUAAUUUCAAAAUGUUAUCCUGUCAUUGUAUGCUUAAUUUUCAAUAAAUAAACCUUCAUAGUCGUA